rnacentral:rRNA from 1 species
AGAGUACGUGAAACCGUUUAGGGGUAAACCUGAGAAACCCGAAAAGUCGAAGGGAGAAAUUCACCGCGGUUCGACGAAGGUGACGUUUCGGCGCGUGACUGCGCGUCUUCGGACAGCGCGGCGCCGUCGUUUCGUUUUUUAUCGACGACGAACGCGUGCACUUUUCUCCCGGUAGGACGUCGCGAUCCGUUGGGCGUCGGUCUACGGCUGACGGUGGAGACCGCGAGUCGUUCUUCGGAACGUACGCGCGGACCCGUCUGCACCCCGACCGACUCGCUCGACGGUAUACGAACGGUUUGGGGCCGCUUUUAAAGCGUCCGGCUCGCGGCUUUCGGGCCGCGACGUUCUCGGACAGACUCUAAAAACCGAUCUGCGACGCUAUAGCUUUGGGUACUUUCAGG